AUUUAAAAAAAUAGUUAUUACAUCUAGUGAAAUUCAUGACCUAAACCAUGAGUUCGACCAAUUAAGCUGUGAAGCCUGGUCGACUCAAUUAUAGUAGAAACACAAAAAUAAAAAAGAGAGAACCAUAAUAUAAAACACGAAAAAAAAAUAUUAGUCAAAUUAUUGAUAUUUUUUUUAUUUUGGUUCGAAAGUUUGUUCUAUUUUUUUUUUUUUUGGUCAUUGAAUUGAGAGAGUAGAGAGAAAUUCAUCGAAAAACAUGAGAAGAAAGAGAAACUUGUAAAUUUUCAAGAUUUAAGCAAUAAAAAACAACAAUCUUGGUGUUAACAGGUUCCUUUCAACAAGAGGAGUUAGAUGAUGGUGAUUUUUUGUCUUUAUUUUGCAGGAAAAAGCAAAUCGAUGCUUGGAAAGUUUUGUGAUUUCAAGUUAUUUUUUCAAUUUCUAACUAAGCUUUUACUAUUUUAGCGAUUCUUUCUUUAAAGCGAAAGUGAAAGUACAGAUCGAGGCUUGUCAAAGAUAAGGGACUCGACUUCCCCUGCCUUAUUAAAGACUUCCCAACUUACCUAGCGGAAGAAAAAGAAAGGGGCAAGGACCUAUAAAAAUAUUUAGGUCACUUCCACCAACAACUAAAGCUAUUUCUUACUAGUGUGGAUUCUCCACAUACUCCAACUACUAGAAAGACUGAAACUAACUCCAAUCAGUCAACUACCAUCCAUGAGCGGAUACCAUCGAGUAACUAUCAAUGAAAGGUGAGAUCCGAAAACGUGCCUUCACCUCAUUGAAGGUUUAGAAUCCUUGGGCAAUAACAACAGUAUAGGAAGCAUCCAAUUGACACAGAUGUGGCACUUCCUUUCAUUUUGAUCGGGAGGCAUGUAUUAAAGGGAAAGAGGUUGGCUAUAAAUUGGUUUAUUGAUAGUAUUCAUUAUGUAAUGGGUUCGAACCCUUGUAUAUUUCCUCCGUGUAUUAAUUGUGAGAGUUGAUGUUGGGUGAGAUUUAAAUUCUCUAAGAUUUUUUUUUUCAUUUGAAAUUUUGUAAUGAGAAGUAUUUCAAAGCUUUCUACAA